rnacentral:lncRNA from 1 species
UUUGACUCUAACCAAAUGGUAAAUACACCCUUUGGAAAUAAGCUUUCUAGCUUUGAGGUAAGAGAUAAAAUGACUCUUGGGUGACACAGAAUUCCCAAACUACUCAAACACGGAUGCACUCGAAAACUGAAACUUGACCACUGGGGUUCGACAACCAAUAGAGGGAUAAGAAGAAUAUAGCCAGUCCAUACCCAGAAUCAUAUCAAAAUCUACCAUGUCUAACUUAAUCGGAUCAGC